UACGUAGGGCGCAAGCGUUGUCCGGAAUUAUUGGGCGUAAAGAGCUCGUAGGCGGCCUGUCGCGUCGACCGUGAAAACCCGCAGCUCAACUGCGGGCUUGCGGUCGAUACGGGCAGGCUGGAGUUCGGUAGGGGAGGCUGGAAUUCCUGGUGUAGCGGUGAAAUGCGCAGAUAUCAGGAGGAACACCGGUGGCGAAGGCGGGUCUCUGGGCCGAUACUGACGCUGAGGAGCGAAAGCGUGGGGAGCGAACAGG
rnacentral:rRNA from 1 species